GACGAACGCUGGCGGCGUGCUUAACACAUGCAAGUCGAACGGCAAGGCCCUGCUUUUGUGGGGUGCUCGAGUGGCGAACGGGUGAGUAACACGUGAGUAACCUGCCCUUGACUUUGGGAUGACUUCAGGAAACUGAGGCUAAUACCGGAUAGGAGAUCCCGCUGCGUGGUGGGGGUUGGAAAGUCUCGGCGGGUGGGGAUGGACUCGCGGCUUAUCAGCUUGUUGGUGGGGUAGUGGCUUACCAAGGCUUUGACCGGUAGGCGGCCUGAGAGGGUGACCGGCGACAUUGGGACUGAGGUACGGCCCAGACGCCUACGGGAGGCAGCAGUGGCGAAUAUUGUACAAUGGGCGGAAGCGUGAUGCAGCAACGCCGCGUGCGGGAUGACGGCCUUCGGGUUGUAAACCGCUGUCGCCUGUGACGAAGCGGUAGUGACGGUAAUGGGUAAAGAAGCACCGGCUAACUACGUG
rnacentral:rRNA from 1 species